rnacentral:rRNA from 1 species
UACGGAGGGUGCGAGCGUUGUCCGGAAUCACUGGGCGUAAAGGGCGCGUAGGUGGCGCGGGCAGUCAACGGUGAAAGUUCGGGGCUCAACCCUGAAUCGGCCGUCGAUACUCCCGGGCUUGAGCACUGUAGAGGCAGAUGGAAUUCCGGGUGUAGCGGUGGAAUGCGUAGAGACCCGGAGGAACACCAGUGGCGAAGGCGGCAUCCUGGUCUGCGACUGACGCUGAGGCGCGAAAGCGAGGGGAGCGAACGGG